rnacentral:rRNA from 1 species
GAUGAACGCUGACAGAAUGCUUAACACAUGCAAGUCUACUUGAUUUAUGGUUUCGGCCGUAAUGAUGGUGGCGGACGGGUGAGUAACGCGUAAAGAAUCUGCCCUUUAGUCUGGGAUAACAGUUGGAAACGACUGCUAAUACCGGAUAUUAUGGAAUCAUCGCAUGAUGAAAUCAUGAAAGCUAUAUGCGCUAGAGGAGGACUUUGCGUCCCAUUAGCUAGUUGGUGAGGCAACGGCUCACCAAGGCGACGAUGGGUAGCCGGCCUGAGAGGGUGAUCGGCCACAAGGGAACUGAGACACGGUCCUUACUCCUACGGGAGGCAGCAGUGGGGAAUAUUGGACAAUGGGCCACAAGCCUGAUCCAGCAAUUCUGUGUGCACGAUGAAGGUCUUCGGAUUGUAAAGUGCCUUCAGUAGGGAAGAAUAAAUGACGGUACCUACAGAAGAAGCGACGGCUAAAUAUGUGCCAGCCGCCGCAGUAA